GCCCGGCUAGCGCAAUGGUAGCGCGCAAGACUUCUACUAAUACUUCCACCGUAUGACAUUUAAUCUUGAGGCUGUGGGUUCGAGUCCCACGUCGGGUG